rnacentral:rRNA from 1 species
AUGGGGAGUCAACUGCUGCCGGCGGCGGCGGCGAAAGCCCCGUCGACCCCGUCCACCACCACCACUAGCACCACCACCGCCGCCAACGGAAGCACCACCACCACAACCAAAACCACCUCCACCUCCACCUCCGCCGAUGGCACCCCUACCAUCACAACCACCAGCACCACCACCACAACAACAACCACAACCACGGUCACUGCCGCCGCCGCCGCCACCACCACCAUAUCGUCCCUCAGCGAAGACGACCUCCGCGAGAUCUUCCUCCGCCUCCCGAACCUCCGGGCCCUCAUCCGCGCCGCGCUCACCUGCCGCGCAUGGCUCGGCGCCGUCCGCGCCUCCCGGCCCUUCCGCCGCCUGUUCCGCGCCCUCCACCCGGCGCCGCUCCUCGGGCUCUUCAUCCCAAUCGACGGCAGCGCCAACCCCUCCUUCGCCCCGCUGCGCCGCCGCUCAGAUCCCGACGUCACCGCCGCCCUCCGUGGCGGCGACUUCUUCCUCACCUCCCUCCCGCUCGAGGCCGACCCAUCCAAGGGCUGGAGCCUCAUGGACUGCCGCGACGGCUACCUCCUCCUAUGGAACAUGCUCUCCCUCGCCGCCGUGAACCCCUUAACCUGGGCCGUCGACAUCAUCCCGAUGCCCGGCGACGAUGUGCAGGCCGGGAGUCGGCGCCAUUUCUCCUUCCUUGGUUUCCAUCUGCUGUGCUCCGACGAGCACCCGUCGUCGUUCCGCGUGGUCUGUGUCUGCUCGGACCCGCAAAGGAUCCGUGCCGCCGUCUUCUCGUCGGAGACGUGGGAUUGGGUCGUCCACCCGUGGGUGCACGUCGGCGGUAACCGCAGCCUGAAGUUCAAUGCUGGUACGCUGGCGAAUGGUUCCAUUUACUGGCCUGUCGACGGUGAACCCCGCACGAUUAGGAUAAACACGGCCACCAUGGAUGUCUCCUCUGUGGAUCUACCCUCUCAAGUGAAGGUGCACGGAUUCAGUUUCAGUGCCGGGGACACCAAGGAUGGCCAACUAUGCAUCGUCUAUGAAUCGGAUUUCUUCCUUCAUGUUUGGAUCCGUGGCGUGGACGGUGAUGGAAUCGAGGUUUGGGUUCCGGACACUGUAAUCGAUUUGAGUGCAGAAAUUGAUCGGGUCACUCAUGGGUUCGCUCUCGACUUGCAUGGCGACCUCAAGGUUAUGGAAGUUAGGUCUGGAUACAUCUACUUGUCCACGACAUGCUUGACCCCUGCUGGCACGCUCCACUGCUGGUUCUUCUCCCUUUCCUUGGAGACCUUGGUGCUUGAGUUACUUGUCUCGGGGAAAUUCGACGGUUGUGCCCAUCUGUAUAGUAUGGCCUGGCCUCCUUCUUUGGUUGGUGAUGAUGGGACUCAUGAAAUCGAAGGUUUUAACUGA